UGAGGUCAGAGUCCUGAGGAGCCCUUUCUCAGUGUGGGUCAUUUUCUGUUUGAUUUUGAAUUUGUCCACGCUGUGAUGCAAAAAGCUGUGGUUGGCCUGGGCAUCGUCAUGGUUCCUGGCCUCUCCUGUGAGCACACAGUGACCGCUAUUUUUUGAACACUGCUAUGUUCCAGCUACUGUCCUGGGUGCUAGAGAUACCUCAGUGAACAACACAGACACAUGCGGUGCCCUAGCACGCUUCAGGGGCAGAUGCUGCUUCAUUAAGGGUCGGAUGAUAGCUGGAGCUCUUCCACUCAUUCCCAUCUUUCUGUACCUUAUCCUCUUCUACAACUAAUAGAAGACAAAGUAGCUCAAGCCUCUUUCUCUGACACCGUGAGCCUCGGUCCUCAGUGCUCCCCUUGACACCCCCCGCCCUUCAUCACAGAAGAAUUACCUUUGCCCUCUUGGAUCCCACCUUUGUCCUUGCACGUAGUCCUGUUGUAGGACUGAUCAUGAUGAACUUAUAUUGUAUUCUUACCUGUCUGUCUCCCCUACAAGGAGGUGAGCUGCAUCACACCUAACCACACAUGUGGAACAAGUCCAUGAGGAACUGCCCCUAAGGAACUAUGCAGUUAACUGAAGUUCAGUCAUUAGGUUGACAGGUACAGUCAUAAUGGAAAGCAUUAGUCACACCCCUUAGGUCACUAAGAGCCCCAGAAAACAGGUGAUGUACCAGACUCAAGGUACAGCUGUGAACAAGUAGAAAACGGCCGCUGCAAGGGAACCAGCUUGAUAACCUGAAAAUCCGAAUAGCUGAAGUAUAAUCAGUCUUAAGAGGUAGCCCUCCUGCCCCUGCAAAAAAAGGCUUAACAUCCAAAUCAUCUUGAGCUGCUCACCAACAAGUGAUGAGCAUUUUUGGUCACAUAGGUCGAUGACGCUUACCUUACCUUAGGUGGGGACACCUUCAAAUUGUAAAAGACGGUAGCAGGAUCCCGGCACCAAAUACCUUAUGCUUUUUCUUCUACAGGGUUUUAAAAGAGU